rnacentral:pre_miRNA from 1 species
AGUGGGAUAACUGGGUCAAAUGGUGGUUUCCACUCUUAGUUUUUUGAAGAAUAUCCAUACUAUUUUCCAGAGUGAUCACACCAAUUUGCAGUCCCACCAGUGAU